GAGAUUCCCCUAGUAGCGGCGAGCGAACGGGGAACAGCCGAAUCAGCAUGGCGUAGUGGAAUGAGUUGGGAAGCUCAGCGAUACCGGGUGAUAGCCCCGUACACGAAGCGACAUGUUGGUCAUAUUAAGUAGGUCGGGACACGUGUUAUCCUGAUUGAAGAUGGGGGGACCAUCCUCCAAGGCUAAAUACUCCUAACUGACCGAUAGUGAACUAGUACCGUGAGGGAAAGGCGA
rnacentral:rRNA from 1 species